rnacentral:lncRNA from 1 species
CUAGGCCGUGCUGCCCUAAGCUUUGUGCAGCCUGGCUUGAACACCUCCAGGGAUGGGGCAUUCACGGCUUCUCCGGGUAACUUGUUCAACUCCCUCACCACCUUCAGAGUCAUGAAUUUCUUCCUAAUAUCUAAUUUAAAUCUACCCUCCUUUAGUUUAAAGACAUAACUCCUUGACCUAUCACUACACCCCCUGACAGAGACCCCCCAGCUUUCCUGUAGGCCCCUUCUAGGUACUGGAAAACCACUGUAAGGUCUCCCCGGAGCCUUCCCCUUCUCCAGGCUGAGCAACCCCAGCUCCCUCAGCCUGUCCUCACAGGAGAGGUGCUCCAGCCCCUUGAUCAGCCCCGUGGCCUUCCCCUGGCCUCGCUCCAGCAGCUCCACGUCCCCCCCGCGCUGGGGCCCCCACUGAACGCAGCACCCUCCAGGUGGGACCCUCGCGAGUAGCGGGGGCCCGGCUCCUUUUCGGAGGGGCUGUUCCCCCUGCUCUCCGUUUCUUAUUGAAGGGGAUCAGCGGGGUCGCCUCGCCCCUCUCGCAGCCCCCGGGGCCGCGCAGAGCCCUGAGGAGGCGGCGGCUCCGCGCCGGCCGCCCGCGGGGGGGCGGCGGCCGAUGCUCGGCGGCCGAUGCUGGGCGGGCUGUGCGCUCACUAGUGGGAGCUGGAGAGGGCGAGAGGAGGGGAACGGCAGCAAAAAAAUAAAUAAAUCCCAAACCCAAGUGGAGCGGCUGAGGCGGGCGGCGGCCGCGGGGAGCCCCGGGAUGGAAAGUCGUGGGUGCGUCAUUUAGAUCAAGGUGCCUGACCGGAGUGUGCAGCAGCUCACGUGCAAGGGACAGACCGGUGCCCACAAUGACCUUGUUACCAGCACAGUGUGAGUGUGACCAGAUUGCAUCUGUAACCUCAGUGGUGAAACUUCUGUUGGUAUCAGCUGUCCUUGCUAGUCCUGGCUUAAUAGGUUAUCACUGUGAGGAAUGCCUCCCAACUCCUCUUUGACAGUUUCAUGGACUGCGUGUUAGAGAACAGCCUGUGCACAGCAGGAGUUAGCUGGAAUCUUUUUUCUCUCUCUUGGCAUGGUAGAACCAACAGCAGCAUUCACUUGUGCCCAUUGUUUGAGGCAAGAAGAAUUAUAUGCAAACUAAUACAUUCUGCUUCUUCAUGAGGAGCAGAGAGAAGCCUCAUUUAUCCCCCAUGGCAUAGAGACCGGUCAUGUGGGCUUUAUUUCUAUAGUUUUCCUUUUCUGAUUGAGGCACUCACGCUUCGUUCUGAUCUGCUUUUAAAGGUAAUACUUAGGCAAGUUGCAUCUCUGAACAUGUUUUAGUGUGUUUUCCAUUAAAUGUAUAUUCUGUGACUACGACAGUUUUUGGCAUUUGCAAAGCCUGUGAACUGUGCCCGUGGAAGCCCUCUUGGUUCUUUGGGCAGUACCAUUUCAUUGUGAAGUUAUCUUUAAAGCUGCAAUAUUUGUUUUUCCAUAGGGGUCCAUGCAAUACUGUAAUUGUCCAGGAAGCAGGACCUCAUACUACUGAGAAUGCGAUUCAUGUUGAGUGAGAACUUAAGAGUUUCUCAAUAAACUCUGUCUGCCUUUAGUAUUAAGUUUUUUU